UACGUAGGGGGCAAGCGUUGUCCGGAAUCAUUGGGCGUAAAGAGCGCGUAGGCGGCCUGCUAAGUCGAACGUGAAAUCCCUGGGCUCAACCCAGGAGCUGCGUCCGAUACUGGUUGGCUUGAAUCCGGGAGAGGGAUGUGGAAUUCCAGGUGUAGCGGUGAAAUGCGUAGAUAUCUGGAGGAACACCGGUGGCGAAGGCGACAUCCUGGACCGGUAUUGACGCUGAGGCGCGAAAGCCAGGGGAGCAAACGGG
rnacentral:rRNA from 1 species